rnacentral:sRNA from 1 species
UAGAACCGCUUAGGUCCGAGAAGUUGGG